ACGCUGGCGGCAGGCCUAACACAUGCAAGUCGAGCGGUAGAGAGAAGCUUGCUUCUCUUGAGAGCGGCGGACGGGUGAGUAAUGCCUAGGAAUCUGCCUGGUAGUGGGGGAUAACGUUCGGAAACGGACGCUAAUACCGCAUACGUCCUACGGGAGAAAGCAGGGGACCUUCGGGCCUUGCGCUAUCAGAUGAGCCUAGGUCGGAUUAGCUAGUUGGUGGGGUAAUGGCUCACCAAGGCGACGAUCCGUAACUGGUCUGAGAAGAUGAUCAGUCACACUGGAACUGAGACACGGUCCAGACUCCUACGGGAGGCAGCAGUGGGGAAUAUUGGACAAUGGGCGAAAGCCUGAUCCAGCCAUGCCGCGUGUGUGAAGAAGGUCUUCGGAUUGUAAAGCACUUUAAGUUGGGAGGAAGGGUUGUAGAUUAAUACUCUGCAAUUUUGACGUUACCGACAGAAUAAGCACCGGCUAACUCUGUGCCAGCAGCCGCGGUAAUACAGAGGGUGCAAGCGUUAAUCGGAAUUACUGGGCGUAAAGCGCGCGUAGGUGGUUAGUUAAGUUGGAUGUGAAAUCCCCGGGCUCAACCUGGGAACUGCAUUCAAAACUGACUGACUAGAGUAUGGUAGAGGGUGGUGGAAUUUCCUGUGUAGCGGUGAAAUGCGUAGAUAUAGGAAGGAACACCAGUGGCGAAGGCGACCACCUGGACUGAUACUGACACUGAGGUGCGAAAGCGUGGGGAGCAAAC
rnacentral:rRNA from 1 species